rnacentral:rRNA from 1 species
UGGGGAAUAUUGCACAAUGGGCGCAAGCCUGAUGCAGCCAUGCCGCGUGUAUGAAGAAGGCCUUCGGGUUGUAAAGUACUUUCAGCGAGGAGGAAGGCGUUGUGGUUAAUAACCGCAGCGAUUGACGUUACUCGCAGAAGAAGCACCGGCUAACUCCGUGCCAGCAGCCGCGGUAAUACGGAGGGUGCAAGCGUUAAUCGGAAUUACUGGGCGUAAAGCGCACGCAGGCGGUAUGUCAAGUCGGAUGUGAAAUCCCCGGGCUCAACCUGGGAACUGCAUCCGAAACUGGCAGGCUAGAGUCUUGUAGAGGGGGGUAGAAUUCCAGGUGUAGCGGUGAAAUGCGUAGAGAUCUGGAGGAAUACCGGUGGCGAAGGCGGCCCCCUGGACAAAGACUGACGCUCAGGUGCGAAAGCGUGGGGAGCAAACA